rnacentral:rRNA from 1 species
GGACCGUAUAUAAGUCUCCUGGGAUGGAGCAUCAUAGAGGGUGAGAAUCCCGUCUUUGAUACGGACUACCAGUGCAUUGUGGUAUGCUCUCAACGAGUCGAGUUGUUUGGGAAUGCAGCUCAAAAUGGGUGGUAAAUUCCAUCUAAAGCUAAAUAUUGGCGAGAGACCGAUAGCGAACAAGUACCGUGAGGGAAAGAUGAAAAGAACUUUGGAAAGAGAGUUAAACAGUACGUGAAAUUGCUGAAAGGGAAACGCUUGAAGUCAGUCGCGUCUGCUGGGAAUCAGCCUCGCUCCUGCGUGGUGUACUUUCUGGUAUGACGGGUCAGCAUCAGUUUUGACCACUGGAAAAAGGUGUGGGGAAUGUGACAGCUCCGGCUGUGUUAUAGCCUCAUAUUGUAUACAGUGGUUGGGACUGAGGAACGCAGCACGCCGCAAGGCCGGGUCUUUGACCACGUUCGUGCUUAGGAUGCUGGCAUAAUGGCUUUAAGCGACCCGUCUUGAAACACGGACCAAGGAGUCUAACAUGCCUGCGAGUGUUUGGGUGGUAAACUCGAGCGCGCAAUGAAAGUGAAAGUUGAGAUCCCUGUCGCGGGGAGCAUCGACGCCCGGACCAGAACUUUUGGGACGGAUCCGCGGUAGAGCAUGUAUGUUGGGACCCGAAAGAUGGUGAACUAUGCCUGAAUAGGGUGAAGCCAGAGGAAACUCUGGUGGAGGCUCGUAGCGGUUCUGACGGGCAAAUCGAUCGU